rnacentral:rRNA from 1 species
UACAGAGGGUGCAAGCGUUGUUCGGAAUUACUGGGCGUAAAGGGCUCGUAGGUGGCCAACUAAGUCAGACGUGAAAUCCCCAGGCUCAACCUGGGAACUGCGUCCGAUACUGGAUGGCUUGAAUUCGGGAGAGGGAUGCAGAAUUCCAGGUGUAGCGGUGAAAUGCGUAGAUAUCUGGAGGAAUACCGGUGGCGAAGGCGGCAUCCUGGACCGACAUUGACGCUGAUGAGCGAAAGCCAGGGGAGCAAACGGG